CUCAGAUCAUCAGGCAUUAGAUUCUCAUAAGAAGCACACAGCCUAGAUCCCUUGCAUGUUCAGGGUUUGUGCUCUUACGAGAAUCUAAUGCCGCCACUGAUCUGACAGGAGGCGGAGCUCAGGUGGUAAUGCCCUCACUUGCCCGCGGCCUGGGAGUUGGAGACCAUUGCUCUAUAGCAAGACCAGACUUUGCCCUUCCUCCUCUCAGCCUACUCAACGUGAAUAUAAUGAGGAUGAAGACCUUUGUAAUGACCUUUUCCCACAUAAUGAAUAGCCAUUGGGAGACACACUUCUGAACACCACCACUGGAAAAUCACACAUGCUGAAAUGGGAGAGUUCCCUGACCCCCUUGCAGGAUAUGUGACAGGAGUGUGGCUCAUCUGUUCAGCUGGAGUGCAUACUCAAACCCCUUAUGAGACAAGGAGUAUGCAGACAGAAGGUGCAGGAACUGGGAAGCAAAAUAUAAACUAGUUAAUUUGAUCUCCAAGAGUUAAGCGGUUUUAAUAUUACUGACAGUAAUAUCAGCAGUGGUGUUGGAACCCCAUGAUCUCAUGAAUCAUAGAUAGCAACUGCUUACUGGACAUUGAAGCUUUAUGGCCAGCUGCCAAAAAAAUAAAUGCACCUUAAUUUUUAAAUUGAAUUAUAAAGCCAAAAAUAUCCUAUUGCUCUAUUCCUCUUAUUUUGGUGUUUACAUGUGACUUUAUAAUUUCCUUCACUUGAAAGAUUUUAACUUUAAAGGAAACUUUACUCUGAACGUUUAGGACAAUUCAUAGAUAAUCAAAUUGAUUAUCAUGUUUUCAAUGUUAAAUAUUACUUCAUAUGUCUUUUUACAACCUUCAGAAUAAGAAAGCCAGCUAUGAAAUACCAAGUCUUGACUAGUAGUGCCACCUAGCAUCACAAAGAAAAAGUUGUUCAACUACUUUGCAAAGCAUUGGAAAUUUAUCAAAUCAUCUAAUAUACUAUCUCCUUGAUCCUUAAUCCAGAGGAAAAUAAGCAGACAUGAUCAAUUAGAAGAAAUGUACACAAAACCUAUGUAAUUUUAGAGAUAGUAUACUACAUAUUAUGAAUGUUUGUGUUUUAGUAAGAUGUAGUUAUGAGAUGUAGCAGUAAGAUAUAAUUUCUGGUUUGCUGACUGAUAUGCUACCGGUUUUUCCUACAAUUUAAGAAAACAUAUUGGGAUUCAAAUGAAUAAAAAUAAUGUUUGUGUACUGAAAUAUUGGCUAUGACCUAAUUUAUAGAAUAAAAAGUAAGUCAUUCACAACUAUCAGUAUUUUGAAUAAUGUGGCAACCAACAACUGAUUGAGAUUUGUUAGUGUUUUGAGUAAUGAAUUUAGAAACUUUGGAAUAUAAUAUAAUGCUAACAAAGAUAUCACAGGCUCAAUCCUGGAUGGAACUGAGGACAGCUAUUCCAACCAUCUCAGUUAAGAUGCUUCUUAUUGGCGAUAAGUGAAUAAUAAGAGAGUAGAUGGCUCAUACCAGACCUAUUUCUCUCACAAUUCAAAUAGACUUAGCUGUGAGAUAGGGCAAGUCCUCAAAUAACACCAUUUCAUUCAAAGUCAUUUUAUGAUCACUUUGAUGAGAAGAAAAUCACUAAUUCUUGGUCAUGGCCACUGUCUGUGUGGAGUCUACAUGUUCUCUGCAUGUGUACAUGGGUUUUCUCUGGGUAGUUUGGUUUCCUUCCACAUCCCAAGGAAGUUCACAUGAGGUUCACUGGUGUGUCUAAAUGGUUCCAAUGUGAGUGAGUGUUGGGGUGUGUGUGGGUGCCCCCUGCAGUGAGAUAG
rnacentral:lncRNA from 10 species